AAAACUUCGAUCGUCGCAGUUUCUCUUUAUCAAUGGCGAUUAAAUUCGUUUCACUGUUAAAUCUCUUCUUCUUCUUCCUCUUCUUCAAUGCAAUCUCAAUUUCCCAAUCCACAGAUGAAUCUGGGAUCCCGAAAUUUACUUUCAGUUGGUCGAAUGAUAAGAACAAGUUCAAAUCUGGUGAAAUCUCUGAAAUUUCAAUCAAAGUUCUGGGAAAUUUCGACAACCAUGGAAACGCUUCGUUGGGUCAGAGAGCUUUUAAGCCUACAGUUACUGUUAACGGAAAACUUGGGAACAGUACGUAUAUUUCUGGGGUUUCGUUGGAUCUUGGUGAAGAUAUCAGCAAUUGGAAGAUCUAUUUUACUCCAAUCAUGGUUGGUAUCUUCAAUAUUGUUAUAGAUGAGGAGAAUUUCAAAGUCCUCGAUUCGUCGCUCCAUUUUGAAGUCGAAGCAGGGUUAAUGUACCCAUCUGUUAGUGUUGUUUCUUGGAUGGGUCUUGCAAAUGUGUUUGAAGCCGGGAUGAAUGCGUCGAUUUUGAUUCUUCCGAAGGAUGCAUUCGGGAACAACAUAUCGUUUUCCGGGAAGAAGAUGGAGUUUCAGGAGUUUUCUCUGUCUCUUAUUAGUGAAAAUGGUUCAUUUGCUGGUGUUCUUAAUAGUACACACAUUAGAUGGAUUGUAUCUGGUUAUAUUUCCAUUGAUUUUGUUCUUGUUACUUCUGGAAAAUUCUUAUUGCUUGUGGAGAAGGAAAGCCAAACAUUGAAUGGUGGUCCAUUACCUCUUGAGGUGAAUUCAGGACCAUUGGAUGUUUCCAAUUGUGUGAGUAUAUGGAAGUCAGAGUUAAGCACAUGGCAGAUAUUUUCCAAAAUGGAGAUCUUGUUACACCAGAAAGAUCGCUUCGGGAACAUUGUUUCUGGAUUCUACGAAUUUGAUGCUGAUGUGGUGGAAGUAGAGACGGGUUUGUCCAUACCGGUAGCAGAUUUCCAGUUUGAGUAUGUAGAGCCAGGGAUUCAGUUGAUGUCUUUCACCUUAUCUGAACCUGGAAAUUUCUUGCUUACUCUCUCUGAUAUGAAGCACAAUAAGAGCAUCUCUAGUAUGCCAUAUGUGUAUACAGUAUAUAUAGGUUAUUGUGAUGGAUCAAGAAGUAUAGUAAAUGGUUCAGGGAUCAAUGCUUCUAUUGCUGGGGAGUCUCUUGGCUUCUCUGUUUACUUGAAAGAUGCUUAUGGUUAUCCCUCACCAGUCCAAGUCGAUAGACUUCAGGUCCGAAUCGUACUAGAGAUUGAUUCCUCAAUUAUUUUGCCAACCAUACAGCCAAGAGAGGCUCUCAAUGGGACUGGAUCAAGUCACCAAGCUGCUACUCCAUUGUACGAGAAACAUGGCGGAAGAGCUUCAGGCAACCUAGUGACUCAAGCGAGUAUUUUUGACGUAACUUAUACUCCUAAAAGGACUGGAAUUUAUAGAAUCUUUAUAUCAUCUGGAAACAUAGUCCUCAAUGGAGGCCAGCCUUUCAUCAAGGAAGUAUAUGCAGGUGAAGUGAAUGUGGCAGCGUGUAGUGUGACUCAAUUCAAUGGAAAAGUACCAAAAGAAAUCAAGAAUGAAAUUGUAGUGUUGCUCUUGGAUGGUUUCUACAAUCCUGUACCGUCACAGCCAUCUCGGUUAAAGUUUGAGAUCACCUCAGCUAAUACAUCAAGUUUCACUACAUGGGAAUUUGUAGAUAAUAAUGAUGGGACAUAUACUGGUAGCUAUCUGGCCAUGGAGGUUGGUACUUACCGAAUGUGCAUAUCUUUUGACAAUAAACAUAUCCAACCUUGCCCCUUCGACGUAAAUGUGUAUAGCAAUGGAUACUUUCCAAGAGCCUAUGAUGAUCCAGUCAAUGUGUGGGAAGAUGAGUCAAUAUCUUUCAAUCCACUGGAAAACGACUAUUUUGCUGGCGACAAUGCAAGCAUGCUCGGUUUCUCACAACCAGGUCAUGGUUCUCUUCUGAGAGAUGGAAACCUCCUUAGAUACACGCCAAUGAAGAAUUUUUCAGGAAAUGACUCCUUUCUUUAUACAAUAGCUGAUAUCAAUGGAAACUUAGCCGCAGCUACAGUAUACAUCUUUGUUCUUACUGCUCCUCCUCAGUUUGUUUCAUUUUCGGGCGGAUUGCAAGCAACUGAAGAUCUAAUCAGUCCUAGAUAUGGUGGCUUCUCUGGCCUGGAGAUAAGCUACUCAGACCUGCUGGAGAACAUUUCAGUAAUGGUACAAGCACUUUCGGGAUCAGUCAUUCUGUCUCCGAUGUUGAUGCAGUUUAGACCUCCUGGAAGUGGAAAACUCUCAGUUAGCAAUGGAGGUGAAGAUAGAAGGGUCUUAAUCUUAGAAGGACAAGUAGGAGUUAUCAAUCCCGCACUUCAGUCGAUUCAAUAUCUCGGAAAUGAGAAUUUUGCUGGUGUUGAUUCUCUUCGGCUGUCUACAAAGAACAAGAAUGGGAUCAACCAUCUGGAUGUUCCGGUUUUCGUUGAACCUGUAAAUGACCCACCGUUUAUUAAUGUUCCUCAAUAUAUAAUGCUGGAGAGUAAUGGGAGUGAGUCACUUAUAUUUCACCCCGAAAGAGACAAGUUCAACUUCUCAGUUGGAGAUCCAGAUCUUGUUAAUUUCCCCGGUGGUGAAUCUCAUUUCUUAGUAACAUUUUCCUUGGAAGUCACUGACGGAUUUCUGCUGACAAACUUACCGUCAGAGCUUAUAAACUCAACAGAGCUGAAGUUCAAAAACUUGUUCCAAUGGCAGCCAAUUCAGACGUAUGCUGCCAUUUCUAAACACGUGAAUGUCAAAGCUAGUGGGAUCAGGUUUCGUGGAACUAUAAGGCAAUGCAACGACCUCAUGCAACAGCUGCUCCAUCGCGGAGGAGAGAAUGGUGCGGUCUUGACUUUGAAACUGAGUGACAUGGGGAACUACGGGUGCUUCCUUGACUGUACCGAGAGAAUUUCACUGCCUCUUCACGCAGAAGCUCGCGUAAACCUCAUUAGGAAGAGACCCUUGAGUUCCCUUGGAGCCCACGGCACACCUCUGAUAAGCAUAUGUAUAUUGGUUCUAGGAUCUGUGAUUGUAGUGGAGUCUCUCGUGGUCUUUUCUCUAGCUACUUUGCUUCUGUUCUUCACUUGCAAAUGCGCAUUUCUACUAGUACACGAGAAAAGAAUCCAACACAAGAAUUUGCAGAAACCAACGGACAAUGCCGAAUUGUUAAACAGAAAUCUUUCAACAACAACAAUCACUGGUUGUCUACCUGAGAGUAUCUGGAAUCGCCAUCCGCAGCAGAGACACAUAGGUGAAACUUCCGGCAACCAGAAUAAGCAGUAGUCUCCAGAUAUUAACAUUUUUCCGUUCCAGCUAGAUAAGGCUCGAAGUUGAUAAAUCUGAGCCAUCAGAAUGUUUUUUGGUCAUGCUUCUGUUGUAAAUGCUCAAUGAUUCUAUAAUUACC
rnacentral:lncRNA from 1 species